GGCUGGUCCGAAGGUAGGUAGUUAGCUCAAUUGAUUGUUCUGUUCGUUACAGAUAGAGCUCCUUGUUCUACUCUUUCCGCCUUCUCCUUAAUGCAGCUGACAAGGAAAA
rnacentral:Y_RNA from 10 species